rnacentral:SRP_RNA from 1 species
GGCCGGGACCUGCGCAACAGCAUCCCCGUGAACCGAGUCAGGGCCGGAAGGCAGCAGCUCUCAGCGGACAAUGCCGUGUGCCGUAGCCAUCCUGGUCGUC